UAGGAACCAGAGUGGAGGGAUUGAGAGUUGUGCAUCGUUCUAUGGUCAAAUUGGGCAUAUUUAACAGAAUGAUCAUAUAAGGUUUUGGAGCUUCUAAGAUGGCCUUCUUCCUAGAGGCGUUCAAAGUCCUCCCCUCCUGAGUUAGUGGGAUUAGACAGAUGAACUGCGGUCACCAGAUGCCCAAGCCUCAAAACCAGAAACAUGUGGAG